CUGCUAAAAAAAUUAUCCUCAAACCUGAAAUUUCGCAUUUCAGAAGUAUUAUAAUUAAUUCUUCAAGAGUAACCUUUACGAAAGUCAAAGAAAAAACUAUCUACCUAUAUGGAGGCUUAAAGAGAUCCAAAAAAUGUAAUGUUGUAGCCGUCACCUAAUUAACUUUAUGCUUCUUCAUGAAAAUGAGUACAUGUUUUUGGAUAGUUGAAGAAGUAGUGAAAAGGAGUACAUGUUGGACAAUCUUAGAGAUGCUUUAGAAGAAAAAAAAUGCAAUGUCAUAAAAUUGCACAUAAAACAAUGAGAGUCAUUACAAACAUAAAAGGUUUGGGAGUCAUGAGUAUUAAUACUAAUUAAUUAAGUGUAGAAGUUUGGAAAAAUGAAGAGGUGUAAGUUAUAUUGAUGACUUUUUAAAAUAAUUUAAUAAUAAUAAUUUAGAAAAUGAAAUAAAAAGGGGAAAAGGGAGAAAAAAAUAAAUAUGAUUCUUGAUCAAAGAGGCAUGCCGAAUUAUCUCUUCUAUAUUCAACUUUAUUAUUAAGAUAGAUAGAUAGAUAGAUAGAUAGAUAGAUAGAUAGAGAGAGAGAGAAAAUUUGGAUCAAUUAAUAAUAAUAAUUUAGAAAAUGAAAUAAAAAGGGGAAAAGGGAGAAAAAAAUAAAUAUGAUUCUUGAUCAAAGAGGCAUGCCGCAUUAUCUCUUCUAUAUUCAAACUUUAUUAUUAUUAUUAUUAAUAUAUAUAUAUAUAGAUAGAUAGAUAGAUAGAUAGAUAGAUAGAUAGAUAGAGAGAGAGAGAGAGAGAGAGAGAGAGAAAAUUUGGAUCAAUUAAUUUACUCGAAAAAUUAUUACAUGUAUGAAAUAUUAUAAUAUGUCUUUUAUCAUUCACAAAAAAGGAAAUUUACAAUAAAAUUUAGUUCCAAUCAUUUCAAUGAAAAUACAUUAUUAUACAUGAAAAAUUACUUACACAUUUAAAUAUACUACUACUAGCAAACUAAUACACUAAGAAUUUUAUCAAUAAUAUUCUUUUAUAAACAAAAUUCAUAUAUAAAUAAAAAUAAUUCUCUUAUCUCAUUAAUAUACAUAAAGAAGAGGAAUGUUAUGUCAUCCAUCCAGAGUUAUACUCCAAAAAAGAGAUAGAAGAGGAGGGAAAAGAGAAGGAGAGAAGAGAGGAAAUAAGGAGGGGGAGUAGACACAUAAAUCUUUCAAGACAGAGGAACAACAAAUGAAUAAAGAUCAAGAGGAAUCCAAAGAGCAUAAGAACAAGAAGGGAAGGGUUUGGAGAGGAUAAGGUAGGGGUUAACACUGAAAAUAAGUUUGGGGAUUUUAAGGAUUAGAUGUUUUCUCAAUGAUCUUUUCUCAUCCUUAAGUUGAUCUCUUGUCCUCUACUGACCCACCCCAAUCAACAUUACUAUAGAUUUCAACUCUUUCAUGGCCAUGAUUAGUAUAGAUGUUACCUUUGUUAAGAUAACCUUUGAGGUACAUGAAGAUCAUGUAUACUACAUGUAGGUAUGCUUGACAAAUAAGGGGGAGUCACAGGGAGAGCAACAAAAAAGAAAGGGAAAGUCAAUACAAAAAAUGGGUAGAAGAAGUGUCUACGGGCAAAAACAACUUGACAAGGGGGUGUGGGUCGGAGAAUAAAUAGGGGGAAGAUAUAAGGGAAAAGAGUAAGGAGAUAGAGAAC
rnacentral:lncRNA from 1 species